rnacentral:rRNA from 1 species
CGUAAGGCGCCGAAUGAGUCAUUAAAAAUUAACAUCAUCCGAUCCCUAGUCGGCAUAGUUUAUGGUUAAGACUACGACGGUAUCUGAUCGUCUUCGAUCCCCCUAACUUUCGUUCUUGAUUAAUGAAACAUCCUUGGCAAAUGCUUUCGCAGUAGUUAGUCUUCAAUAAAUCCAAGAAUUUCACCUCUGACAAUUGAAUACUAAUGCCCCCAACUAUCCCUAUUAAUCAUUACAAUGGUCCUAGAAACCAACAAAAUAGAAUCAUUGUCCUAUUCUAUUAUUCCAUGCUAAUGUAUUCCGGCAUAAGCCUGCUUUAAACACUCUAAUUUUUUCAAGGUAAAGGUCUUGGCUACUCGCAACACCCAAUAAAGGGCAUUACGCAUCACCAAGCGGUGAGGCCCAACCGACCAGUACUCGUUACAAGAACGGACCAAUCGGCCAAACCCAAAAUUCAACUACGAGCUUUUUAACUGCAACAACUUUAAUAUACGCUAUUGGAGCUGGAAUUACCGCGGCUGCU